rnacentral:misc_RNA from 1 species
AAUCAAAUCAUUUAUUUCAUUCUCAAAUUAUGUUUCAACUUCAAUUACUCCUAUCAAUUCUCACUUUGUCAUUUGCUGCCCAGUCAUAUUCUUCCACGUCACAAUUCUCUAUUCUCCAAUCCAAUCAUCACUCUAAACCCAACUUCUUUUCCAUCUCUGUCACCGAGUUUGGCGCUGUCGGCAAUGGCGUCAAAUACGACACUAUUCCAAUCCAGAAAGCUAUAGAUGCAUGCUCGACCAUCGUAUCCAAGCAUCAUCGUCCAUGCCACGUUAUCUUCCCCCCAGGAAAGUACCUAACAGCAACAAUAUUCGUGAAAUCAGGCGUUGUAUUGGAUAUUCACCAGAAGGCAACAAUUUUGGGAGGAUCAAAGUUAGAGGAUUACCCAAAGGUGCAAAGCAGGUGGUAUGUGAUACUGGCAGAGGAUGCAGUGGA